CCUACGGGAGGCAGCAGUGGGGAAUCUUGCACAAUGGGGGAAACCCUGAUGCAGCGACGCCGCGUGAACGAUGAAGCCCUUCGGGGUGUAAAGUUCUUUCGGCAGGAACGCGGUACCUGAAGAAGAAGCUGCGGCUAACUACGUGCCAGCAGCCGCGGUAAUACGUAGGCAGCAAACGUUGUUCGGAGUUACUGGGCGUAAAGAGUACGUAGGCGGUUUGCCAAGUUUGGUGUGAAAUCUCCUGGCUUAACUGGGAGGGUGCGCCGAAUACUGGCGGGCUUGAGUAUUGGAGAGGAAAGCGGAAUUCCUGGUGUAGCGGUGAAAUGCGUAGAUAUCAGGAGGAACACCGGUGGUGUAGACGGCUUUCUGGACAAUACUGACGCUGAGGUACGAAAGCGUGGGUAGCAAACAGGAUUAGAUACCCUUGUAGUC
rnacentral:rRNA from 1 species